rfam:Bacillus gobiensis strain FJAT-4402 chromosome.
GGGUGAUAUCUCAUAACCCUUAUCAAGUGAGGUACUCGGUUGUGCUGUGGGUGUGAAGCCUUGCACCUUAGACGCUGGUCGUCAGAGGCAGAAUGUGAGGGCGGGUUCGAUGCCCG